UCAUGGACGAGAGUCUGAACCAGCCAAGUAGCGUGAAGGAUGACUGCCCUACNGGUUGUAAACUUCUUUUAUACGGGAAUAAAGUGAGGCACGUGUGCCUUUUUGUAUGUACCGUAUGAAUAAGGAUCGGCUAACUCCGUGCCAGCAGCCGCGGUAAUACGGAGGAUCCGAGCGUUAUCCGGAUUUAUUGGGUUUAAAGGGAGCGUAGGCGGACGCUUAAGUCAGUUGUGAAAGUUUGCGGCUCAACCGUAAAAUUGCAGUUGAUACUGGGUGUCUUGAGUACAGUAGAGGCAGGCGGAAUUCGUGGUGUAGCGGUGAAAUGCUUAGAUAUCACGAAGAACUCCGAUUGCGAAGGCAGCCUGCUGGACUGUAACUGACGCUGAUGCUCGAAAGUGUGGGUAUCAAACAGGAUUAGAUACCCUGGUAGUCCAAGGGCGAAUUC
rnacentral:rRNA from 1 species